rnacentral:piRNA from 1 species
UGCAGUUUGAUUUUGGCCUAAAGAUGCCAG